AAGUCGUAACAAGGUUUCCGUAGGUGAACCUGCGGAAGGAUCAUUAAUGAAAUGAUAAUUUUUUAGGGUUUUCCCUGAAAAAUAAUUCACCUUUUGUGCAUUGUUAUUAGAUAUACUUUGGUUAGAGCUUUGAUUUCAUUUAUUGGAAUCAACUUCUUGCUGACUCUAUCCUUUCUGAGGACAGUUGGCUAUGAAGCGGCCUACCAAGGUUUUAAUCAAACUCUUGUAUUUUGUCUGACCUAAACUAUUAUAAUUAAAUCAUAACUUUCAACAACGGAUCUCUUGGCUCUC
rnacentral:misc_RNA from 1 species